rnacentral:rRNA from 1 species
AACCACUUCGGUGGAUUAGUGGCGAACGGGUGAGUAACACGUGGGCAAUCUGCCCUGCACUCUGGGACAAGCCCUGGAAACGGGGUCUAAUACCGGAUACUGACGCUCGCAGGCAUCUGUGAGAGUCGAAAGCUCCGGCGGUGCAGGAUGAGCCCGCGGCCUAUCAGCUUGUUGGUGAGGUAACGGCUCACCAAGGCGACGACGGGUAGCCGGCCUGAGAGGGCGACCGGCCACACUGGGACUGAGACACGGCCCAGACUCCUACGGGAGGCAGCAGUGGGGAAUAUUGCACAAUGGGCGAAAGCCUGAUGCAGCGACGCCGCGUGAGGGAUGACGGCCUUCGGGUUGUAAACCUCUUUCAGCAGGGAAGAAGCGAAAGUGACGGUACCUGCAGAAGAAGCGCCGGCUAACUACGUGCCAGCAGCCGCGGUAAUACGUAGGGCGCAAGCGUUGUCCGGAAUUAUUGGGCGUAAAGAGCUCGUAGGCGGCUUGUCGCGUCGGUUGUGAAAGCCCGGGGCUUAACCCCGGGUCUGCAGUCGAUACGGGCAGGCUAGAGUUCGGUAGGGGAGAUCGGAAUUCCUGGUGUAGCGGUGAAAUGCGCAGAUAUCAGGAGGAACACCGGUGGCGAAGGCGGAUCUCUGGGCCGAUACUGACGCUGAGGAGCGAAAGCGUGGGGAGCGAACAGGAUUAGAUACCCUGGUAGUCCACGCCGUAAACGGUGGGCACUAGGUGUGGGCAACAUUCCACGUUGUCCGUGCCGCAGCUAACGCAUUAAGUGCCCCGCCUGGGGAGUACGGCCGCAAGGCUAAAACUCAAAGGAAUUGACGGGGGCCCGCACAAGCGGCGGAGCAUGUGGCUUAAUUCGACGCAACGCGAAGACCCUUACCAAGGCUUGACAUCCCCCGGAAACGUCCAGAGAUGGGCGCCCCCUUGUGGUCGGUGUCCAGGUGGUGCAUGGUUGUCUUCAGCUCGUGUCGUGAGAUGUUGGGUUAAGUCCCGCAACGAGCCCAACCCUUGUCCCGUGUUGCCACCAACUCUUCGGAGGUUGGGGACUCACGGGAGACCGCCGGGGUCAACUCGGAGGAAGGUGGGGACGACGUCAAGUCAUCAUGCCCCUUAUGUCUUGGGCUGCACACGUGCUACAAUGGCCGGUACAAUGAGCUGCGAUACCGCAAGGUGGAGCGAAUCUCAAAAAGCCGGUCUCAGUUCGGAUUGGGGUCUGCAACUCGACCCCAUGAAGUCGGAGUCGCUAGUAAUCGCAGAUCAGCAUUGCUGCGGUGAAUACGUUCCCGGGCCUUGUACACACCGCCCGUCACGUCACGAAAGUCGGUAACACCCGAAGCCGGUGGCCCAACCCCUUGUGGGAGGGAGCUGUCGAAGGUGGGACUGGCGAUUGGACGAAGUCG